rnacentral:rRNA from 1 species
GGAACUCCAAUUGUCCCCGUUUUUACGGGUUUCUGAAUUGACUCUAAACAGGUCGAGUAAUAGGGGCGGGAAAUAUCGGUCCCAGCCGCCGCGGUAAUACGGAAGCCCCCAAGUGGUCGUCGUUCUUAUUGGGCCUAAAACGACCGUAGCCCGUUUGGUACAUUCGUGGGUAAAUCAGACAGCUUAACUGUCUGAAUUCUGCGAGCACGGCCAAACUUGAGACCGGGAGAGGUGUAGGGUACCUGCGGGGUAGGGGUAAAAUCCUGUCAUCCCGUAGGGACCACCAGUUGCGAAGGCUCUACACUAGAACGGAUCUGACGGUCAGGGACGAAGCCUAGGGGCACGAACCGGAUUAGAUACCCGGGUAGUCCUAGGUGUAAACGCUGUGGACUUUGUGUCGGGAAUUCUUCGAGGAUUCUCGGUGCCGGAGUGAAGAUGUUAAGUCCACUGCCUGGGGAGUACGGUCGCAAGGCUGAAACUUAAAGGAAUUGGCGGGGGAGCACUGCAACGAGAGGAGCGUGCGGUUUAAUUGGAUUCAACGCCGGAAAACUCACCAAAGCCGACUGUUAUAUGAAGACCAGCGUAACGAGCUUGUCGGAUUUUCAGAGAGGUAGUGCAUGGCCGUCGUCAGUUCGUACCGUAAGGCGUUCUGUUAAGUCAGAUAACGAACGAGACCCCAUCGUCAUUUGCUAACCCUUUCUCCGGAAAGGGCGCACUAUGGCGAGACCGCUGGCGUGAAGUCAGAGGAAGGCGGGGGCAACGGUAGGUCAGUAUGCUCCGAAUGCUUUGGGCUACACGCGCGCUACAAAGGACGGGACAAUGGGCAGCUACUCCGAGAGGAGAUGCUAUCCCGAAACCCGUUCGUAGUUCGGAUCGUGGGCUGUAACUCGCCCUCGUGAAGCUGGAUUUCGUAGUAAUCGCGUCUCAAAAUGGCGCGGUGAAUAUGCCCCUGCUCCUUGCACACACCGCCCGUCAAACCAUCUUAGUUUGGGGUGGGUGAGGCUACCUUUUAUUGGGGUA